UAAGUGGCCAAGUGACUGUGGAAUGUUUGUUAAGUUUCCUGGUGAAAGCGUUCCUCUUUGUGGAACUAAGAUCUCUAGGCCAGCAAAGCAUCAGAUCAUGGAAACAGGAAGCAGAAAUUUUGCUGGUGGGUCAUGAGAGGUGGUAGUGAGAGGUGCCAUUCCCAUUUCCACCUUUCACGUCUAGACUUGUGAAUCCUGUCACCUCCUCGGUGACACUGCCCCAACCCUAGAAGGUAUGGCCACCUGCCUGGCACUGUAACUGAGUCUUCAAAGGGACAUUCUGCUUUUCUAUCCAAUUGGCUUCUUCAGAAAGGUGCGGACAUGCUGCAUAGUUACCCUGAUAUAUACAGACAUGUCUCCGUUUGGGGAAGACCAGAAGCAAGAUUAACAGCACAGACUUUUUGGAGUGCCAGGAUCCUUCCUCAAGGUGACCCGUCCUCCCUUCAUCCAAGGGGUCCUGUGUGGGAAUUGAUUGAGAGACCCUGAUUCUCUGUUUUUAUGCUUCAGGAACGCUGUGAUAGACUAGCUGAUGCCACAGGUGCUCUGGAGUCAGUCUACUUGAUUGCUGCUUUGGCUCUGCCAUCCGUUAAGAGUAGCCAUGCCUACCUCGUCUUUGGUGGCUGAGUGCUGCCUCCUGGCCCCUGUCACCCAGGAUCUUAUGACUACAUGCCAGUAAUUAGAUCCUGCACUGCGCUGAGAUCCCACUGCUCUUAGCUGUCUGAACCCAGUGGCUGUCAUCGCCAACGGAAGUCCGGCCAUCAGAGAAGCAUGAACACAGAGCUCCUCACGGAUGCCAGGGCUCCCCGCCCAGACUUGCUUCUCACAGUCGUGGUGAAGAGUGUGGUUUCCGGGCUCUCCUACUGUGCGUGAGUAGCUCCUAAGGGACAAACCCAGUGUAACAUGUCCUUUACUGAAGAGUACACAUUUGCAGAUCAGCGCAUUGCCGGCUCAAACAUAAGCUCUCACCGGUCGAGAAACUGGGCCUUGGUAAAUGCUCUAAUUCCUGUGUUCAAAAACUCCUGUGGAUUGCUGCAGAGGCAUCAUAUUACAUUAGAAUGACAUCAAUCAAAUCUUAUGAAACUCAAAUUUAGAAGAGUACACACUUACGACUAAUACUUGGGAUAAAAUUUUUAAACGAAAAUCUAAUCUCGGAUACCAGUUGAGACUUAGAUGACACUUUUGGACUACCAGCUU
rnacentral:lncRNA from 13 species